rnacentral:rRNA from 1 species
GGUGAGUAACACGUGGGCAAUCUGCCCUUCACUCUGGGACAAGCCCUGGAAACGGGGUCUAAUACCGGAUAACACCUGCCCGGGCAUCCGGGUGGGUUAAAAGCUCCGGCGGUGAAGGAUGAGCCCGCGGCCUAUCAGCUUGUUGGUGAGGUAGUGGCUCACCAAGGCGACGACGGGUAGCCGGCCUGAGAGGGCGACCGGCCACACUGGGACUGAGACACGGCCCAGACUCCUACGGGAGGCAGCAGUGGGGAAUAUUGCACAAUGGGCGAAAGCCUGAUGCAGCGACGCCGCGUGAGGGAUGACGGCCUUCGGGUUGUAAACCUCUUUCAGCAGGGAAGAAGCGAAAGUGACGGUACCUGCAGAAGAAGCGCCGGCUAACUACGUGCCAGCAGCCGCGGUAAUACGUAGGGCGCAAGCGUUGUCCGGAAUUAUUGGGCGUAAAGAGCUCGUAGGCGGCUUGUCACGUCGGGUGUGAAAGCCCGGGGCUUAACCCCGGGUCUGCAUUCGAUACGGGCUAGCUAGAGUGUGGUAGGGGAGAUCGGAAUUCCUGGUGUAGCGGUGAAAUGCGCAGAUAUCAGGAGGAACACCGGUGGCGAAGGCGGAUCUCUGGGCCAUUACUGACGCUGAGGAGCGAAAGCGUGGGGAGCGAACAGGAUUAGAUACCCUGGUAGUCCACGCCGUAAACGGUGGGAACUAGGUGUUGGCGACAUUCCACGUCGUCGGUGCCG